rnacentral:rRNA from 1 species
GCUCUAAUAGCAUAUAUUAAAGUUGUUGCAGUUAAAAAGCUCGUAGUCGGAUUGGGCGCGUGUGAACUGUCAGCCUCUGGUUGGACGGUGCGCGCGUGCCUUUCUGCUUGGGAGCCCCAUGGUGGUUAAUUCUGUCGUGGUGGGUCACAGGCCGUUUACUUUGAAAAAUUAGAGUGUUCAAAGCAGGCUGUUGCUUGAAU